CCUACGUGUGGCAGCAGUGAGGAAUAUUGGUCAAUGGGAGAGAUCCUGAACCAGCCAAGCCGCGUGAGGGAAGACGGCCCUAUGGGUUGUAAACCUCUUUUGUCGGGGAACAAAACCCGGGACGUGUCCCGGACUGCGUGUAUCCGAAGAAAAAGCAUCGGCUAACUCCUUGCCAGCAGCCGCGGUAAUACGGAGGAUGCGAGCGUUAUACGGUGUUAUUGGGGUAAAAGGGUGCGUAGGCGGUCCGUUAUGUCAGCGGUAAAAUUGCGGGGCUAAACCCUGUCGAGCCGUUGAAACUGGCAGACUUGAGUUGGCGAGAAGUACGCGGAAUGCGCGGUGUAGCGGUGAAAUGCAUAGAUAGCGCACAGAACUCCGAUUGCGAAGGCAGCGUACCGGCGCCAGACUGACGCUGAGGCACGAAAGCGUGGGGAUCGAACAGGAUUAGAUACCCCUGUAGUC
rnacentral:rRNA from 1 species